GCCCCUUCGGGGGAGUGGCAGACGGGUGAGUAACGCGUGGGAAUCUACCCAGCUCUACGGAACAACACAGGGAAACUUGUGCUAAUACCGUAUACGUCCUUCGGGAGAAAGAUUUAUCGGAGUUGGAUGAGCCCGCGUUGGAUUAGCUAGUUGGUGGGGUAAUGGCCUACCAAGGCGACGAUCCAUAGCUGGUCUGAGAGGAUGAUCAGCCACAUUGGGACUGAGACACGGCCCAAACUCCUACGGGAGGCAGCAGUGGGGAAUAUUGGACAAUGGGCGCAAGCCUGAUCCAGCCAUGCCGCGUGAGUGAUGAAGGCCCUAGGGUUGUAAAGCUCUUUCAGUGGGGAAGAUAAUGACGGUACCCACAGAAGAAGCCCCGGCUAACUUCGUGCCAGCAGCCGCGGUAAUACGAAGGGGGCUAGCGUUGUUCGGAAUUACUGGGCGUAAAGCGCACGUAGGCGGAUUGUUUAGUGAGGGGUGAAAUCCCAGGGCUCAACCCUGGAACUGCCUCUCAUACUGGCAGUCUCGAGUCCGGAAGAGGUGAGUGGAAUUCCGAGUGUAGAGGUGAAAUUCGUAGAUAUUCGGAGGAACACCAGUGGCGA
rnacentral:rRNA from 1 species